GAUGAAGAACGCAGCGAAAUGCGAUAAGUAAUGUGAAUUGCAGAAUUCAGUGAAUCAUCGAAUCUUUGAACGCACCUUGCGCCCCCUGGUAUUCCGGGGGGCAUGCCUGUCCGAGCGUCAUUGCUGCCCUCAAGCACGGCUUGUGUGUUGGGCCUCCGUCCUCCUCCCGGGGGACGGGCCCGAAAGGCAGCGGCGGCACCGCGUCCGGUCCUCGAGCGUAUGGGGCUUCGUCACCCGCUCUUGUAGGCCCGGCCGGCGCUUGCCGACACAUCAAUCUUUUUUCCAGGUUGACCUCGGAUCAGGUAGGAAUACCCGCUGAACUUAAGCAUAUCAAUAAGCGGAGGA
rnacentral:misc_RNA from 1 species